rnacentral:rRNA from 1 species
CUCAUGGAUUAAUCCAGUAAGGUCACAGGUAGAUUACCUGUUUAUAGGCGGUAGGUGGAAGUGCAGCGAUGUCCGCAGCCGAGCCGUACUAAUAGACCGAGGGCUUGACCUC